UAGCGGGGCUCGGCUGGGGGUGGGCCCGCUUCCCCGCCGCGCCGGCCUCGACGCGGCUCCCUCGGCCCCUCGAACUGCUCUCUUUUCCGCUCUUCCCCCAUGAGCUCGCGUCUGGCGCCGCUGAAAGCGCCCCUGCUGCUCGCACUCGGGAGGUUGGCCGCGAGCUGCCCACGCCCGCCUCGACCCCCGAGCCCCCGGCCCCUUCCUCCCGCUUCACCUCGGCCGCCCCCUUCUCGAUCCACUUCACACAUCCUUUCCCUUCGGUGCCUCGGAAGGUCCUUCCUUCCAGCCUUGAGAGCUCCCUCUUCCUCCCAGCUCCCCUCUUCCUCCCAGCUCCCCUCUUCCUCCCGGAGCCUUCCUGCCGCCCGGGUCUGCAGUUCCCCAGCCUGAGUCCCCUGUUGUUUGGCGGCAGAGACUCCUUUCUAGGCUGUGCUUCGAGGUGCCUCCUGCGUAACCGCGACAAUGAUCAUAAUACCGGCCCCAGAUCCACAGGAGGAGACACUGGAGUAGAUUUUUCCGUCAGGCGCUCAGUGUUGAAAGUGAAGAGCUCUUUAGAUGGCUUACUACACAGGAGGCUAAUAUCUUAGUUUAAAGAAAAUUUGAAGUAUAUAAAAAAUAAUUUACUCAUCAUCAAGCCUCAGCAAAGAUCGAUUUGUGGCCAUUGAUGUUUCAUCUAUACCUCUACACGUCUCACCUUACCUCCCAUUAUAUUCUAUGUAAUUUUUUAAUGAAUACUUGUAAUUUAAUCACCAUUCUAUUGGACAUUUUAGGUAUUAACAAUUUUUGGCUACUUUAAGAAUAUUUAAUGGUCGUCCUUUGAGCAAAACUUUGAUUUUCUUAGAGUAUAUUUCUAGUGUUGGGAUUAUGUUAAAAGAUAUUCACUUAUUUAAGGCUUUUGAUACAUAAUUUUUUAAAUGUCCUCUACAAGGUUUUACUAGCUUACCAUCUAAGCAGAUAUAUAUAAGCAAAAGAUUAUUGGAACAUGUAUUAUGAGAUAAUUUAAACAUUUAGAAAAUAACAGAAUAAUAAAGCAAAAUAUCCAUAUACCCACCAUACAGUUUCAACAGAUUAUCAUAAUUGUUUAAGAUUAUUUUGAGGAAAUAAAACAUUUCAUAUGGAAUUGAAGACUUUGUUGUCACUUUCUUCUCUGAUCCCAUUCCCUUUUCUUUCUUCCCAGAGAUAAUCUGAGAAUUCUAGGAAUGUGUCCUUUUGGUCUAUAUUUUAAUAUUUUUACUACACAUGAAUUUGUAUGGUCAGUAUAUGGUGAGUUUUUUGUUUUUCUUUUCAUAACUAGCUAUCUUGAGACUAAUCUCUUUUUAAGAUUCAUUCAUGUCAAUACGUAGAGAUCUAGUUUUUUUCAUUUUAGCUACUACAUAGCAUUCCAUUGUAUGAUUGUGUUAAGAUUUGUUUAUCUAAUCUCCUAUGAUGGACAUUUGGAUAGUUUCUAAUUUUUGCAUAUUAUAUACUAUUUUAGUUAAUACUAGCUGCUCUAAUGAGUAAAUCCUGAAAUCUCAAAAGCUUGACAUAAUGUUAGUUUAUUUCUUGCUCACAGAGUAUCUUCAGUGGAGAAGAAGGGGCUGUGUUCUAUGGAGUCAUUAAGGGACCCUGGCCACUAGAGGGUCUGUCAUCUUCACCCUGUGGUUUCCAAGGUUGCUCUAGGCAUCAGCAUCCAUCCAGCAAACAAAAGAAGAGUGGCGAAUGGUAUUGGAGGUUUUUAGGGGCCAGUCCUUAGAAGUGGAAUAUAUAAUUCUGUUCACUUUCCAUUGACUAGAAUUCAAGUCAUGUGGCUCCACCUAAGGCCCACAUUUCCCAGCGAACAGGACCAGGAGAUAUAGUUGCUAGUUUGGCAGUUAAUUUAAGAAACAACUCUACACUAUGCAAAAAAAGAACACACAGCUUUGGUGAAUAGCUGGCAGCCUCUGCCCUACAAAUAAUUGUAUAGUUUGUACAUGUCUCCUUGUGCAUAUGUUCAUAGAUUUCUUGAGUAUACACCUAGAGGUGGAAUUGUCAGAUUGAAGUUAUGUACACUCUUAUUUUGUUAGAUAUUGCCAAAUUACUUUGUCCAAUGGCACUGUAUGAGGGGUCUGGUUUCUCUACGUUCUCACUAAUAUUUGAACUAGCAUACCACUCAUCUUGUAUUUUUACAUAGCUGUGUGCCAUUAAUGCCACUGAACGAUGUUAGAAAGAGGAAAAUGCUUAAAGCUGGCUAUAAUCUUCAUUUAGGGCAUUUUGGAAAAGGACACUUGCCUAAAAGUCUAGACCAGCGCUGUUCAGUAGGAAUAUAAUUGAGCCACAUAUAUAAUUUGAAAUUUUCUAUUAACCAUAUUUUAAAAAUUGGAAGGAGGUGAAUUUAGUUUUAAUAGUUUAUUUUAUUUAACCCAGUAUAUCCAAAUAUUAUAUAUCUAAAUAUAUUACCAUUUAAACGUCAUCAAUAUUAAAGUAUUAUUAAUGAGAUAUUUUACAUUUUGUAUACCAAGUUUUCAAAAUUCUGUGUAUAUUUUACAUUUAUAGCACAUCUCAACUUGGACUAUCACAUUUCAAGUAUUUAGUAGCCACAUGGGCCUACUAUAUUGAAUGGCACAGGUUUAGACUUAGUAACAAAAACUUGAAUUCUAUAAUACAUCUGACAUUUAAUUUCAAAGUCAUAUUCAAAUAGGUUCUCACUCCAGUUACCAAGUACAUCUUUAUUGAGCCUUUGGAGGAAUAACAAGCUGAAAUUAUUUUUCCUAGAUUUCUUUCUUCAGAUUUAGGUUAUUAAAUUGUUAAUUUCUCCUCACAUAGUUAAUGAGGUGCUAGUUUCCUAUUAGUUUUCUAUUGCUGUGUAACAUUUGACCAUAAACUUAGUGGCUUAAAACAACACCCAUUUACUAUCUUACUUUGUAGGUCAGAAGUACAGGAUGUUCCUCUGGGUUCUGUGCAUAAGGUCUCGAGUCAAGACUGGAGUCAAGGUGUCAGCCAGGCUGGACUCUCGUGUGGAGGCUCAGGGGAAGAUUUCACUUCCGAGCCCAUUCAGGUUUUUAACAGAAUCUACAUCCUUGCUGUAUAGGUCUGAGGUCCUCAUUUCCUUGCUGGCUGUCAGGCAGGGCCUGAUUAUCACUCCUAGAAGCCACCCACAUUCCUUCUUACAUGGUUUACUUCCAUCUUCAAACCAGCAAUGGCACAUCAAGGCUUUAUCAUCCUUCAAAUCUCUGUGGCUUCUCCUGCUGCUAGCCAGAGAAAGCUCCCUGCUUUUAAGGGCUCGUGUGAUUAAAUCAGGUCCACUGAGAUAAUCUCCUUAUCUUAAGAUCAAUUUGCCAUAUAACAUAAUACAAUCACAGGAGUGAUAGCUCAUAGUGUUCACAGAUUUUAGUGAUUAGAGUGGGGCAUCUUUGGGGGACCAUUUUAGUAAUUCUUUGUACCACAGUAGAGAAGCAAGAUGAAAGAGCAUUUUAAUUAUUUUGUUUAGAGGUCUUUUAAUUUCACUUCUAAAUGAAAGAAAAAUAACUCUGCACAUUUCCUUCUGUCUCCACUCCCACCAACCUGGUCCAAGCUUCCAUUAGCUCUUAGCUGGCUAAUGCAGUACUCUUAACUGCUAUUUCUGGUUCCACAUUUCCCUCCCUUCAGUUAGUUUUCCAUACAGCAAUCAUCUGGUCUCAACUUGAUCAGCCUCUCCUUUGCUUAGUUACUAUGCUUCAGUCCCAGUGGUCUUGAUUUAGUUCCCAGAACCUGCCAUGCUCUGCCCUGCCUCAGGACUUCUGCACUUUAUUUCCCUCUGCCCGAGCAACUUUUCUCCUUAUUUCCAACUGUUUUUCUCAACCAUUAGGUCUCAUCUUAAAUCGCUCUUCCUCAUGGAGGUGUUUCCUUACCUAUGGUCUAAAUUAAAUCUUGCUUUUUGGCUUUCACAGCAUCUGUUACUUUUUCUUUGUAUCCACCUAUCAUAAUUUAUUCAUUUAUUAGUUAUUUAAUGUCACUUCUCCAGACUGAGUGCAACAGAUAAAGAAUGUUGUGUUCACCUUUGUGUAUCCAGCACCUAAUACAGGUCCUGGCACAUAGUAGGAACUCAUUAAAUAUGUGUUGAAUAAAUGAAUGAAUCUUCAACUUUUCCUUUGCUCAGUCAACCAGACUGUUUCCUUUCCAGAUUUUCAUAGGCCUAUUCUCCUUCCCUUUUUUCUCUUUGUUAUUAUUUUCUUCCUCUGCUCUCUUCUGAAUGGUAGAGGAGACUGGCUUCCCAUUUUAUGUUAUUGUUACAUGUUUGUCAGCAUUUUCAUCUAGCUGCAGAAAUAUGUUUGCACUUCUCAUUAUUAAUGAAUACUCCACAACUUUGUAAAUGAACAUUUUCAUGGACUUGACGGAGUGUUCUCAUGUAAAUUCUUGAGAAUAUUGUGAACAAUAAUAAUUCUGUAUAGAGAGUAAUGAGCUGGUUAAAAGAUUGAGAGUAUUCUUAAUUCCUUGUGUGUAUUUUCACUUAAGACUUUACCUUCCGGUGUGUAGCUCUGAGGGAGACCAGUCCAUUCUUCCUAUCUUAGUUUAAGUCAUUAAAGAAAAAGAAAAAGAACCAAAAAACUAAUCUGCUAGUUAGAACUAGCAAAGGUAAUUUUUUUCCUGGUGACUUGAUUCCAUGAUGAUUUGUAAGAUUCCUACAGAAACAUUACAGUUCUUAUUUUUAUGGAUUUGAAUUAUUUGACCUACUUCUACCACAAGGUACAAACUCUGGUCUUUGGUCCUUAUAUAGUGAUUUCUUAUUCACCGUUUUCUACUUUGUGAAUCUAAAAUACAAAACUAAAAAUUGCUUUUUUAAUAAGGCUGUUUUUUGUGAAGUAUAUUAUGCACAGCCAAUAGUCACCUUUGCAUUAAAAAAAAGCAAGCAAUGAAAAAUAAAAUGUAAUGCCCUUAAGGUGAUAUAUAUAGUACUUAUAAAAUUGUGUUCGAGGUAUGUGAUAUAUAAAAAUAUUUCUUAGGCUAAAAGUCUAGAGGGCAAGAAUCAUGUAACUAUGUUCUUUAUUGAACGUCACAGGUUAUCUCAUAACUAUGAGAGGUAACAGUCAUUAAAGCAGGCUAUUACUGAUUUUGCAAUAGGAAUGACCUCUGAAGUUUUGGGAUUUGAUUUCUGGCAACCUUAAUAUUUGUUAGUUCAUAUAGUCUUGGUUUAAGGUCACUUAUAAAUACAGUCUCAUCUAUUACCUUGACAGAGAUUUGUCUUAUUAUUCACGAUCUACUCAUACACAAUUAGAGGAACAAAAAUAUUUUCAACUUUUUGAGGGAAAGUUAACUGUACAUCUAGAAACAAUUUUCAGUCUUUUAAAAACAGAUAAAUACAGAUUUGCAUUUAAAUGCCCUUUUUUAGGAUACUCUCUAAUCUUGGAUUGAUAAAUACAAGUAUCUUUCUGUAAGACUUAAUCAACAAUGUAAACUUGCAGAGGGUCAGCAUUUUCUGCACCUGAAAUAAUAAUUGUAGAACCAGUAGUAGUAGUAAACUGCUCUGUUUCUGUUGCUGCUACAUUUAUUGAGAGCUUAUUCACCUACCCUUUUAUAUUUAUUACCUUAUUUAAUCCUCACAAAAAGUAUUCGAUAUUAUGUUCUAUUAUUAGCCCAUUUUGCAGAGGCAAAAGCCAAGGUGAAGAAAGUUUAAAGAACUUUCUCAAGUUUCCACCAUUUGUGGUGUUGCUAGGAUGUGAAUCCAAGCAGAUUGACUUGAGAAAUUAUUGCUAUGAAGUUCAUUUUAUGAUUUUCCUGCUACAUUACAAACAUAUUUCUACAGGAAAAAUCUCAGUGAAGAUACAAUUAGAUUAUUUGAGUUUUGACCACUGCUGUUGCUUAGUUCAGGUUUUUAUUACUUCUUGCCUUGAUUACGUUAGUAACCUCCCAAUUAAUCUGCUGGUCAUUAGCCUCUUCCCUCUAAUCUAGCCUGACUGGAUUUUCUGACAUAAUUGAACUCACUGCAAUUCUCUGAAGAUAUCAUGUUAUUUCUUGCCUUUCUGCCUUUGUAGAUGCUCUUUCUUCCUUAGGAGCAUCCGCUUUCUGGCUAACUCUAACUAACCUCCCUUUUGAGGGAGAGAGGGUAGUUCCAUUUUUAUUUUAUCUUCCACCCAAAAAGCCCAUCUUGCUCAGUAUUACCUGUAAAUAAGGAGCAGUUUAAUGUUUUUGAACCAAAUAUUUUUCUAAACUCUUGACUCUAAUGAAAGAUAAGAAGCAAUUAAUAAUUAGAGCUGCUUAUUAAAAACAUAGUUUGAAAUCCUGAAAUUCUUUAAACAAUAGACUGAAAAGAAAAGUUCACAACUUGGUGUAUAGUUCAUAACAAUGGCAAACAAACAAACAUAUCAUUCACUAUUCACUCACUAAGGUGCCUGGAGAUAUUUUUUUCCCCUUUUGUACUUUGCUAAUCCUGCAAUCUAUUUAGAUUUUUCAAUUUCAGAAUUAGUUGUUGAAGUAGCCAAAGGCACCUAUUUUCUAUAUAGUUUUAAUGCCUACUGUAGUAGCCAUCUACUCAACAUAGUGUCUCUUUUGGAAAGAAAUCCUUCUUAUUUUUUUAAAAUUAAGUACAAAGACAAGAGAAAUAUUUUUGCUCAUUAGUUUGCAGUCUUUAUUAACGUCGUAUUUAGUAUGUGAUCUUUUAAAAGCCAGUAAAAUACAUAGGGUCAUUAAUAAGCAAUGGAUUAUGCAUUAACAUAAAAUAAUGAUCACUUGUAUUCUAGAAGUAUCAUGGAUUACAUUUCCCACCAUUGGGUCCAUAUGCUGUAAUAUAGUUUUGGAAUCAUUAUCAUUGUAAAAUCAUUAUUCCUUUGCAUAAUGCAUUAAAAAAAUGGCUCAAAAUAAAUCUUGUCCUUCCAAGUCAGAAUUUCAUUUAUAUGUUAAAUAUACAGUUUAUGCUCAACAUAUAUUACUACAGUAAAACUAUCCUUGACUAUCAAGGAAAGGAGGAGGAAAUAGGACAGUUGAUAUCAGCUUCCAGUGCAGGUCUGUAAAAAUAUAUUGAAAAAUAUAAAACAAAAGCAUUCUCUCAAAAGCGGCCUACAAAUAGUCUUACUCAAACCAACUCAUUAAACAUUACAAUGGAAGAGUCCAUUAAAUAUUACAUUAAGUAAUUGGGAUAUUUAUAUAUUCUUACAUAGAUCAAAAUUACCAAACCAUGAAACUGAAUUUCUUUUCAUUUCCCCAAGGACUAUAAAAGGAAAUUUUAAUUAAGCUUUGCUAUGUUAAGAAUUUCCUUGGCUUUAAAAAGCUAUUUAUUUUACUUUAACUUUUCUAAUUGGUUCUCUAAACAAAGAUAGCCUUGGGCUGACCCCAUGGCCUAGUGGUUAAGUUCUGUGCGCUCAGCUGCAGCAGCUGGGUUCAGUUCCCGGGUGUGAACCUACACCACUCAUUGGCAACUAUGCUGUGGCAGUGACCCAGGUAAAAACAGAGGAAGAUUGGCUACAGAUGUUAGCUCAGGGCAAAUCUUCCUCAGCAAAAAAUUAAAAAAUUAAAAAAAUAAAGAUAGCCUUAUGUGUGGCUUGGUAAUUUCGUGGCUAAUAUAUACCAUGAAAAAUUAUUGCAGGUAUUCAGUUCCUGAGGCAUAUAUGAUCAGCUAUGUUCAAGCAAGAUAUUGAAUCAUUUAGUAUUUCGUGAUAUAUAAAAUUAACAGUAAAUCCUAAAAACAAUAUGAUUAAAGACUGUCCUUGUUUGAAACUGACAUUGGUGGAGUUUAAUUUCUUAUUCACUUGUUUUCCACCUCAUUACAGAAAGGAUUUCAAGUGGCAAAUUAAUUUUACUAUAAUGGGAGUAAUAUUUUAUUUAGUCAUGAAAAAAACAUUAAGUACCUACUAUAUGCCAAGCACUGUGCUAAAUGCUGCUUAUACAGAAAUAAAAUAUAUGUUCCUUUCUUCAAGAAGUAUGCAGUUUAGAGGAAAAGUCAGACAAGUUAACCAGCAAGUACAGUACAAUGUGAGUAUAAUAAAAAUUAUUAACUGUUAUGUAUGAGGUGAUAUACCAAGUUCAUUACAUGCUGUUGUUUUCCAUUUUUAAAUCAGAAAAUUAAUGUUCAGCAACAUUAGGUAACUUGUCCAAGGUCACACAGUAAGUGGUAGAAUCAGAUUUGAACUCAGAUGUGUCUGACUCCAAAGCUUAUUAUCCUGUGGCCUCUAUGUACUAGUAAGAGUUAAGACACAGCAAUGCAGAGGAUUUUAUGGGGACACUAAAGUGGGUGUGCUAGUGUAGGCUGUUAAAUUCUGGAAGGGGAUACUUAAGUUGAGUUUAGAAGACUAAUUAGGAAUUAGCCAAGAGGAGGAGGAAGCUGAAAAGCAUGUGCAUAGAGACACUACCAUGUGCAAAGGCAUGGAGAUGAGAAAGCAUAGCCCAUUUGGCACUUCUCUGGCUAACUCUUAUUGCUCUGAAUAAAAGAGGGCAAACCUGUAAGAAAGAGCAGAGAAAUAACUCAAAAGUUAUUCAUUUAUUCAGUCAAUAUUGGGCACUGUAGACUCUGUAUUCACUGCAUCUCUGGGGAGAUACUGGAAUUUUUGAAACUACAAGUCAUAGAAAUGCCACUAAUGUUAAACAGAAUGCCCCAUAAUCAGGAAACAGAAGAGCCUUAUGCUCUUUCUUCAGCCCUCUAAUUUAUUUUAUUUGGCUUUUAGAACAAUGGCUUCUAAAUUGUAAAAUCUGUCUCUCUCUUUUUUUUUUCUGAUCAUUUGUCUCAUCAUGCUACCUGAUGCGAACCUGUGUGGAGAUUUUAGAACUGAAGACUGCAUAAAGUGUUCUCAUUUCAACUAUGCUUAAAUCCUAUUUACUUCUUAAAGAUUUAUGAAAGGAUAAGUAUGUUUCUCUGUAUCAGUAUCUACUGUUUGACCUUAUCUUUCAGAGGAUAAAUGUGCUAAAAGUACUGAAACAGAUCCUUUCAAGGACAUGUCUGGCGAGAUAGAAGUACAUCAAGCUGCUGGAUGGAUAUACAGGACAACACAAGACCAUGACCCAGAUUAUAAAUCAACGUAUAAAAUUUAGGAGGUAGGGAAUGGUUUUUCUGAGUUUGAAGGAGUAAUGUUUAUCAUUAAAUACAUUUAUCAUUCAGUGAAAGAAUUAUUAGUUUAUUUUCUCCAUCUUUAUAAUCUAAAGAGACAGCCUUCAACACUCAUUUCAGAUGCUAUCUUACCUACUAGAAGAAUUUCCCUGAGGUCAGCUAGAACUAAUUAUUCCCCCCACCGAACUCCCCAGCAUUUUAUCUGUAUCUUUUUAAAAGACAUUCAAUAAUUUUUUCCUUUUUCUUAUGCUUAUUAUUUAUAUACAUAUCUUAUCACCUCUAUUAAGCUAUACGUAACUUCCUUGAAGCAAAAUUCAUGUUUGAGCCGCAGCACUAAGAUUUGUACAUAUAAGGCACUGAGCUAACACUUAAUGAAAUUAAGUAUAGCUUCCAUAUCAUAAUCUAAAUCAUUAGAGCAGUGUUUCUUAAAGUAUUGGACAUGAAUUACCUACUUCAGAAUCAUCUGGAAUAUUUUGUUAAAAAUGCAGGCCCCUGUGCUCCUGCCUACACCUACUGAAUGAGAAAUUCUAUUGGUUCCUGGAAUUUUGUUUUGAGUAAAAAUUCAACGUAAUCAUGAUGCACACUAAAGGUUGAGAACCCACUGCAUUACGGAGAAUGUAAGAAUCCAAAUUAAAAUUGAAUUUACAUGAAAUUGCAGAUGUGCUUAAUGUUAAAUAAUAACAUUUCAUACAUAGCAAGGUGUAAAAUAUAAGAAGAAAAAAGUGAACAGGAAGAUAUUUUCAAUGCAGUUUUUCUGUAUGUCAGUGAAGAUCAUUGUGGAAUAUUUUGGAACUUUCAGUCUUAAAAAAGCAUAUGUAGAUGUAAAUAAUUUUGAAUAUUGAUGACCGUUUUCUAUGAAUGCAUUUGAAGUUAAGCACCAUAGUUUUAUAACUAAAGACUAAGAAAAGAUGCAUUGAACGUUAUCUGCACAUUCUAAAAUUGCUGUAUGCAUAGAUGUCUUUUAGGGCAUGAUUUCCUAUAAUGUAGUUUGUGACUAAUAGUUCUACUAUAAGAAAUAGUGUGGUUCAGAUACCAUUUAACAAUAUGUUUUUCCUUAUCUUUCUUUAACAAAGAUAUUGUAUUUUAGAUUUACUUGUCUGUAAAUGUUUUAUCUGUGAUUUUUAAAGAUAUGAAAUUGUUGAUAGAAUGCCAGCUAUCUUGGCUUUAUGCAUUGUUGAAGCUGUAAGGUCAAGGGUAAGCUGUAGUAAGCAGGUCCAAUAUAGGUCUUCAUCUAGAUAGUUCUUUUAUUUCCAGUGUGAUGUACAAUAGUUUUAUAAACUUAAGCUGUUUUUAUAAUAGUAAUAAAGAUAAGAAAUGCUUAAAUAAUGCUUGUAAUGUAGAGCAUUGGUCCAGGUACUUUUCAUAUAUUAAUUCGUUUAAUUCUCACAGUAACCAAAUGAGAUAGGCACUGUUAUUAACCACACAUUACAGGUAAGGAAACUGAGGUACUGAGUAAGAAAUUUGUCCAAGUUCAUACAGCUGGUAAAUGGCUAGGUUAUGAACCCAUACGGUAUAACUUCAGAGUCAGUCACUUUACGAUGUUGUUACUUUUUUAGACUAGCAAUUAAUUUGACUUUGUCUUAGUCAUUAUCAGGAGCAUUUUCCAGCAAUAACAUGGCAAAUGUUUCCAAGUAAAAAUUUUAAACAAAUUCAACCUACCUCUAAACAUUAUCUUUUUUGAAUUGUCUUAAUGCUAUUCCUGCUUUUUACUGAUAUGUAGUAAUUUUGAGGUUUCUUAAAAUUAAUUGGAUGUCAAAAGAUUGUUUUAGCAUCCCAUUUUUGGUGUUUGUGAUUGUGGUAGAUGAUCAUUUUUAGUAAAAAAAGAAAAAGUAUGUGGGGAGAAUAUUCAUAUCUUCAGCACUGUUUGACCGAAGUGGAAGCCCAGUAAUUUUAAUUUUUAGAAGCUAUUGGGACACAACAGAUUUUUAUGAAAUAAAGCUAGAUAAGUUUGCAUACUGAUGAUUUUAAAAAUUAUAUAUAAAAGAUAUUUAGUAAUAUAUGUAUUUUCUGAUAAAGAUUACUGAAGUUUUUCUCUACAAAAAGUAAUACAUUUUUAUUGAUGUUUCUGUGGUCCACAUGAAUAAAAUAUUUGUCCUUGAUCUGUGUCAUUUCCUCCUUUUUAAUUCUACAAAUGGGUCAUUUUUAGGUGUCAUUAAUUACUUUGUUUCAAUAAAUAAAUACUGAAGAUGAUUUAACUACCUUUUAAAAAUAUAUGACUUAUGAAUGCUAUAUAUUAGACUGUAUUUUAAUAUGUUAAUUGUGUUUAAAAAUCUGUCCCUUCAAAACUCUAACUUGUUUAAUAGAUUUAAUUGAAUACCACCAGUCUCUGUUAUAAUCAGGACAGCUCAGAAGAGGAGGGGACCCAAAUUAGAAAGAAACCCAGAAUGGAAAAUAAAGAAGAGAGAUUUUUACCCUUAGAAUAAAGCGUUCCAAAAAGAAAAGAUCACUUGUUCUGCCAGCUGCCAUUGUCACGAUUACACUCAAGUAGCCCUACAGAGUGCCAACAUGGAGAGGAGGCUGAGGCCUCUGUCAUCAUGGAACUCCUGCUAACAGCUAUGUGAAUGAACCUUCUUGGAAGCAGAUCCUCUAGCCUCAUCCAAACCUUCAGAUGACUCCAGCCCCUGGUCAACAUUUUAACAGCAACAGCAUGGGAGACCCCAGCCAGAACCAUACAGCUAACCUAUACCCAAAUUCCUGACACAUAGAAACUGUGAGGUAAUAAAUGUUUGUUUUUUUAAGCCACCAAAUUUUUGAGCAAUUUGUUAUGUAGCAAUAGGUGACUAAUACAACACACAAUCUACAAAUCUUGAACACUGCUUUUUUCACAAGUGAAAAAUUAUUGAUAAUACCCAUCAUGCCAAUGAAUAAAACCUAUGGCAUUACUUUAGAUAAAGAUGGCUGAAGUACCUACAGCUUUCAUUUAGACUCUAGACUUUCUUCAUUUCCAAACUCUAAGUCUUUACCCUCCAAGCCAAUGCUGUCCAAUAGAAAUAUAAUGUGAGCCACAGAGGUAAUUUAAAAUCUUCUAGUAGUUGCAUUAAAAAGAAAA